rnacentral:rRNA from 1 species
ACUCCUACGGGAGGCAGCAGUAGGGAAUCUUCCACAAUGGGCGCAAGCCUGAUGGAGCAACACCGCGUGAGUGAAGAAGGGUUUCGGCUCGUAAAGCUCUGUUGUUAAAGAAGAACACGUAUGAGAGUAACUGUUCAUACGUUGACGGUAUUUAACCAGAAAGUCACGGCUAACUACGUGCCAGCAGCCGCGGUAAUACGUAGGUGGCAAGCGUUAUCCGGAUUUAUUGGGCGUAAAGAGAGUGCAGGCGGUUUUCUAAGUCUGAUGUGAAAGCCUUCGGCUUAACCGGAGAAGUGCAUCGGAAACUGGAUAACUUGAGUGCAGAAGAGGGUAGUGGAACUCCAUGUGUAGCAGUGAAAUGCGUAGAUAUGGGAAGGAACAUCAGUGGCGAAGGCGAAUACCUGGGAUAAUACUGACGCUGAGGUGCGAAAGCGUGGGGAGCAAACGGGAUUAGAUACCCUGGUAGCGGACUGA